CCUACGGGGGGCAGCAGUAGGGAAUCUUCCGCAAUGGACGCAAGUCUGACGGAGCAACGCCGCGUGAGUGAUGAAGGGUUUCGGCUCGUAAAACUCUGUUGUUAAGGAAGAAUACUCGGGGUAGUAACUGGCCUCGAGAUGACGGUACUUAACCAGAAAGCCACGGCUAACUACGUGCCAGCAGCCGCGGUAAUACGUAGGUGGCAAGCGUUAUCCGGAAUUAUUGGGCGUAAAGCGCGCGUAGGCGGUAAGAUAAGUCUGAUGUGAAAGCCCCCGGCUCAACCGGGGAGGGUCAUUGGAAACUGUUUUACUUGAGUACAGAAGAGGAGAGUGGAAUUCCAUGUGUAGCGGUGAAAUGCGCAGAGAUAUGGAGGAACACCAGUGGCGAAGGCGGCUCUCU
rnacentral:rRNA from 1 species